rnacentral:misc_RNA from 1 species
AACGCACAUUGCGCCCGGUGGUAUUCCGCCGGGCAUGCCUGUUCGAGCGUCAUUUAAACCAAUCCAGCCUCGUGCUUGGGUCUUGGGCCUUUCGCCUCUGGGCGGGCCUCAAAAUCAGUGGCGGUGCCUUCUGGCUCUAAGCGUAGUAAUACUCCUCGCUAUGGAUGUCAGGUGGUGUCUUGCCAGCAACCCCUAAUUUUUUUAAGGUUGACCUCGGAUCAGGUAGGGAUACCCGCUGAACUUAA